ACUUAAAUAGUUUAAAUAAAAUAAAGUAUUGUGGUUACUAAGAUAAAAAUAUUUUUUAAGUU
rnacentral:tRNA from 1 species